AGAGUUUGAUCCUGGCUCAGAACGAACGCUGGCGGCAGGCUUAACACAUGCAAGUCGAACGCACUCUUCGGAGUGAGUGGCAGACGGGUGAGUAACGCGUGGGAACGUGCCCUUCGGUACGGGAUAACUCGGGGAAACUCGUGCUAAUACCGUAUACGCCCUUUUGGGGAAAGAUUUAUCGCCGAAGGAUCGGCCCGCGUUGGAUUAGCUUGUUGGUGGGGUAACGGCCCACCAAGGCGACGAUCCAUAGCUGGUUUGAGAGGAUGAUCAGCCACACUGGGACUGAGACACGGCCCAGACUCCUACGGGAGGCAGCAGUGGGGAAUCUUGGACAAUGGGCGCAAGCCUGAUCCAGCCAUGCCGCGUGAGUGAAGAAGGCCUUAGGGUUGUAAAGCUCUUUCGCCAGGGACGAUAAUGACGGUACCUGGUAAAGAAGCCCCGGCUAACUCCGUGCCAGCAGCCGCGGUAAUACGGAGGGGGCUAGCGCUGUUCGGAAUUACUGGGCGUAAAGCGCGCGUAGGCGGACGGUCAAGUCAGGGGUGAAAGCCCGGUGCUCAACGCCGGAAUUGCCUUUGAUACUGAUUGUCUAGAGUGCGGGAGAGGUGAGUGGAAUUCCCAGUGUAGAGGUGAAAUUCGUAGAUAUUGGG
rnacentral:rRNA from 1 species